rnacentral:lncRNA from 1 species
UUUGUGUUUAUCUAUCUCCUUGCUUUCGCUACAUUAAUGUCAGCCAAAUACUCUACUGAUGUAUGGUAAUUUCUUUUCUGCAGAAGAUUGACAAGGAAGGGACUAGUAAUCAAAAUGCCUAAUGGAUGUUGCUCUCAUAUAUUAGUUUGUAUUUUUCAGUUCCGUGGGUGGGUAUAUUAUGUGAACUUCUAGCCAGUUUUCUGUUUCAUUUAAUGAGACAGCAAAUCCUUACUUUAGCACUUGAGGUCUAGGUGAACAAUCUGAGAGUGUUUAUCUGGAUGUUAAAUAAAACUUUCUUUUUAUGUUUAUAGUUGAUACUAUAUUUUGUAUAAUUUGUAAGAUUAUAUUUUUUAUGUUUUAUUUUAUAUUGUACUUGUGUUUGUUGAAUAAAU